CUGAGGAUUGACAGACAAAUAUGGAAAUUUUAUAUUCUCAUAUAUAAAGAUGCUAGUUCUUUCAUGAUUAUGUGAUAGGUGGUGCAUGGCCGUUCUUAGUUCGUGGAGUGAUCUGUCUGCUUAAUUGCGUUUCAAUUUUUAUUAUGUAUACGUAUGACCCACGUUUACGCGUGCGAGUCUAGUAUGCUAUCAUUUGAAAGCAACGAACGUGACCGUAUCCUUUUAUUAUAUACGCACGCGUAUAUUUAUUCAUUAAAGGGACCGCUGUUUCUUUUUUUAAACCAGAGGAAGGUUACGGCAAUAACAGGUCUGUGAUGCCCUUCGAUGUUCCGGGCUGCACACGUGCUACAAUGAUUAUUUCAUUAAGUAUCUACUAUACUGCACAUUAUGUGUAUUAAAACCUACCCUGAGAAUGGGCGGGUAAUCAAUUAGAAGUAAUGAUUUCCUUUUUUUUAUACGCAACUAUGUACCGUAUAUUACAUCCCAUAAUAUCUUUUUAUUAUGCGUGUGUGUUUUAUUACCGUGUACGCGUAAUUGUUAAUUCAUGGUGGGGAUAGACCAUUGUUAAUUGUUGGUCUCGGUCUUAACUAGGAAUGCCUUGUACGGGUCAUUGGUUCAACAAACCACCCGGAAUACGUCCCUGCCCUUUGUACACACCGCCCGUCGCUC
rnacentral:rRNA from 1 species